UGCAGUCGAGCGGUAACAGGAGAAGCUUGCUUCUCGCUGACGAGCGGCGGACGGGUGAGUAAUACUUAGGAAUCUAGCCUAGUAGUGGGGGAUAGCUCGGGGAAACUCGAAUUAAUACCGCAUACGACCUACGGGAGAAAGGGGGCAACUUGUUGCUCUCGCGUAUUAGAUGAGCCUAAGUCGGAUUAGCUAGAUGGUGGGGUAAAGGCCUACCAUGGCGACUGAUCUGUAGCUGGGCUGAGAGGAUGAUCAGCCACAGCCGGGACUGAGACACGGCCCGGACUCCUACGGGAGGCAGCAGUGGGGAAUAUUGGACAAUGGGGGCAACCCUGAUCCAGCCGAUGCCGCGUGUGUGAAGAAGGCCUUUUGGUUGUAAAGCACUUUAAGCAGUGAAAAAGACUCCGUGGUUAAUACCCAUGGACGAUGGACAUUAGCUGCAGAAUAAGCACCGGCUAACUCUGUGCCAGCAGCCGCGGUAAUACAGAGGGUGCGAGCGUUAAUCGGAAUUACUGGGCGUAAAGCGAGCGUACGGUGGGUUGAUAAGUCAGAUGUGAAAGCCCCGGGCUUAACCUGGGAACGGCAUCUGAUACUGUUAGGCUAGAGUAGGUGAGAGGAAGGUAGAAUUCCCGGUGUAGCGGUGAAAUGCGUAAAGAUCUGGAGGAAUANCNAUGGCGAAGGCCGCCUUCUGGCAUCAUACUGACACUGAGGUUCGAAAGCGUGGGUA
rnacentral:rRNA from 1 species